CUGGCGGCGUGCUUAAUACAUGCAAGUCGAGCGGACAGAUGGGAGCUUGCUCCCUGAUGUUAGCGGCGGACGGGUGAGUAACACGUGGGUAACCUGCCUGUAAGACUGGGAUAACUCCGGGAAACCGGGGCUAAUACCGGAUGCUUGUUUGAACCGCAUGGUUCAAACAUAAAAGGUGGCUUCGGCUACCACUUACAGAUGGACCCGCGGCGCAUUAGCUAGUUGGUGAGGUAAYGGCUCACCAAGGCAACGAUGCGUAGCCGACCUGAGAGGGUGAUCGGCCACACUGGGACUGAGACACGGCCCAGACUCCUACGGGAGGCAGCAGUAGGGAAUCUUCCGCAAUGGACGAAAGUCUGACGGAGCAACGCCGCGUGAGUGAUGAAGGUUUUCGGAUCGUAAAGCUCUGUUGUUAGGGAAGAACAAGUACCGUUCGAAUAGGGCGGUACCUUGACGGUACCUAACCAGAAAGCCACGGCUAACUACGUGCCAGCAGCCGCGGUAAUACGUAGGUGGCAAGCGUUGUCCGGAAUUAUUGGGCGUAAAGGGCUCGCAGGCGGUUCCUUAAGUCUGAUGUGAAAGCCCCCGGCUCAACCGGGGAGGGUCAUUGGAAACUGGGGAACUUGAGUGCAGAAGAGGAGAGUGGAAUUCCACGUGUAGCGGUGAAAUGCGUAGAGAUGUGGAGGAACACCAGUGGCGAAGGCGACUCUCUGGUCUGUAACUGACGCUGAGGAGCGAAAGCGUGGGGAGCGAACAGGAUUAGAUACCCUGGUAGUCCACGCCGUAAACGAUGAGUGCUAAGUGUUAGGGGGUUUCCGCCCCUUAGUGCUGCAGCUAACGCAUUAAGCACUCCGCCUGGGGGAGUACGGUCGCAAGACUGAAACUCAAAUGGAAUUGACGGGGGCCCGCACAAGCGG
rnacentral:rRNA from 1 species